rnacentral:rRNA from 1 species
GACGAACGCUGGCGGCGUGCUUAACACAUGCAAGUCACGGGGGCCCGCAAGGGCAACCGGCGAACGGGUGCGUAACACGUGAGCAAGCUUCCGAUUAGUGGGGGAUAGCCGGCCCAACGGCCGGGUAAUACCGCAUACGUUCACUGGACGGCAUCGUCUGGUGAGGAAACCUCCGGGGCUAAUCGAGGCGCUCGCGGCCUAUCAGCCAGUUGGCGGGGUAACGGCCCACCAAGGCGACGACGGGUAGCUGGUCUGAGAGGAUGGCCAGCCACAUUGGGACUGCGACACGGCCCAGACUCCUACGGGAGGCAGCAGUGGGGAAUAUUGCGCAAUGGACGAAAGUCUGACGCAGCGACGCCGCGUGUGGGAUGAAGCUCUUCGGGGUGUAAACCACUGUUGCCCGGGACGAAACUCCUCUUUCGAGAGGACUGACGGUACCGGGUGAGGAAGCACCGGCUAACUCUGUGCCAGCCGCCGCUGUAAUAC